rnacentral:rRNA from 1 species
UACGAAGGGGGCUAGCGUUGUUCGGAAUCACUGGGCGUAAAGCGCACGUAGGCGGAUCUUUAAGUCAGGGGUGAAAUCCUGGAGCUCAACUCCAGAACUGCCUUUGAUACUGAGGAUCUCGAGUCCGGGAGAGGUGAGUGGAACUGCGAGUGUAGAGGUGAAAUUCGUAGAUAUUCGCAAGAACACCAGUGGCGAAGGCGGCUCACUGGCCCGGUACUGACGCUGAGGUGCGAAAGCGUGGGGAGCAAACAGG